rnacentral:lncRNA from 1 species
AAAACUUCAGCCCUAGGGAGGUUCGGACCGCUACGCUCACCGCGCCCCCCGAACCCCGCGCCCCUGAAAGAAGCCCCGCAGCCGCUUCCACCGCCGCGCUCGCCUCCCGCCCGGCCCCGGGGGCCCGGCGCCCGGAUCGGCGGUGACUGCGUCCGCGCCGAGCACCCAACCAGGGGGCGGGGAGGGGGCGGGGGGCGGGCAACGUGGCCACCGGAGGAAGUUUCCCGAAGUUGUCGGUUUAUUCCGGAGACCAGCCCGCGACCCGGCCGGAUCGCCGAGGCGGCCCUGCGCGGGAGAAGUCGGAGUUGGGGCGCUCAGGGGGUAGGCGCCCCGAGACCGAGAGCGGCCUCUCCUCCGUCUCCUUGCUCGCCCCUCGCCUUCCCGGCGCGCCACCGGGGAUCGGACUUGGACUGAAGAAGAGGAGGAACGGUCGGGGUCGCCAGCAACGCCCCUCCCGGGUGGGUACCGCUCCGGAUUGGAGCCGCGGGGGACCGAACCCCACCAGGAUUAUAAAACAGUACGGAAGAGACCCUCCGGAAACAAGGCUGGUCACCAUGUGGGGACUGCUCAUCUGGACGCUGGUGGCCCUUUACCGGAUCCGCGCGACCGGAGCCCAAGAUGACGUGCCCCCCUAUUUCAAGACGGAGCCGGCGCGGACGCAGGUGCAUCUGGAGGGCAACCGCCUCGUGCUCACGUGCAUGGCCGAGGGCAGCUGGCCGCUGGAGUUCAAGUGGCUGCGCAACAGUCGGGAGCUGACCAGGUUCUCCCUGGAGUACAGGUACGUGAUCACCAGCCUGGACCGCACCCACGCCGGCUUCUACCGCUGCAUCGUGCGCAACCGGAUGNNNNNNNNNNNNNNNNGACAGACGGAGGUCCAGGUGGCCUACAUGGGGAGCUUCGAGGAGGGCGAGAAGCACCAGAGCGUCUCCCACGGAGAGGCCGCUGUCAUCCGUGCCCCACGCAUCUCCAGCUUCCCGCGGCCGCAGGUGACCUGGUUUCGGGAUGGCCGCAAGAUUCCGCCCAGCAGCCGCAUAGCCAUCACCCUGGAGAACACGCUUGUCAUCCUGUCGACCGUGGCGCCCGACGCGGGCCGCUACUACGUGCAGGCUCGUCUGUUCCUCUCCCCAGAUGUCAGCGGCCCUGCAGACCCCAUCGCUCCAGCCAUCAUCAUUCCUCCCAAGAACACCAGCGUGGUGGCCGGGACCUCGGAGGUGACUAUGGAGUGUGUGGCCAAUGCCAGGCCUCUGAUCAAGCUGCACAUCAUUUGGAAGAAGGAUGGGGCGCUGCUGUCUAGCGGCAUCAGCGACUACAACCGCCGGCUCACCAUCCCCAACCCCACGGCCAGCGAUGCCGGCUACUACGAGUGUGAGGCCGUCCUGCGGAGCAGCAGCGUCCCCUCCGUCAUCCGUGGCGCCUACCUGUCCGUGCUGGAGCCACCUCAGUUUGUCAAGGAGCCAGAGAGACACAUCACAGCGGAGAUGGAAAAGGUGGUGGACAUCCCCUGUCGCGCCAAAGGUGUGCCGCCGCCCUCCGUGACCUGGUACAAGGACGCGGCCGUCGUGGAGGUGGGGAGGCUGAGCCGCUUCCGGCAGCGAGGCGAUGGGGGCCUGCAGAUCAGCGGGCUGGUGCCCGACGACACUGGCAUACUGCAGUGCUUUGCCCGGAACGCGGCCGGCGAGGCGCAGACCUCCACCUACCUGGCCGUCACCAGCAUNNNNNNNNNNNNNNNNNNNNNNNNNNNNNNNNNNNNNNNNNNNGACGGCAUGUCCGUGGUGCUGGCCUGUGAGACUUCGGGGGCGCCCCGGCCAGCCAUCACUUGGCAAAAAGGGGAGCGCAUUCUGGCGAGCGGCUCGGUCCAGCUGCCGCGCUUCACACUCCUGGAGUCGGGCAGUCUGCUCAUCAGCCCCACGCACAUCUCCGACGCCGGCACCUACACCUGUCUGGCCACCAACUCACGAGGGGCGGACGAAGCCUCGGCCGACCUGGUGGUGUGGGCCCGGACCCGCAUCACCAGGCCCCCCCAGGACCAGNNNNNNNNNNNNNNNNNNNNNNNNNNNNNNNNNNNNNNNNNNNNNCACGACCCCCGAGUGACCGUCAGGCACGUGUGGGAGAAAGACGGCGUCGCGCUGAGCACGGAGGGCAACCCCCGCACCUGGUCCGGGGACAUCGGCACCUACACCUGCCGGGUGCUCUCGGCCGGCGGCAACGACUCCCACAGCGCCCACCUGCGCGUGAGGCAGCUGCCUCACGCCCCCGAGCACCCCGUGGCGACCCUCAGUACCUCGGAGAGGAGGGCCAUCAACCUGACGUGGGCCAAGCCCUUCGACGGCAACAGCCCGCUGAUCCGCUACGUCCUGGAGAUGUCCGAGAACAAUGCCCCCUGGACGGUGCUCCUGGCCAGCGUGGACCCUGAAACUACCUCGGUGACCGUCAAGGGCUUGGUCCCCGCACGGUCCUACCAGUUCCGUCUUUGCGCUGUCAACGACGUGGGGAAGGGACAGUUCAGCAAGGACACGGAGAGGGUCUCCCUUCCUGAAGAGCCCCCCACAGCCCCUCCACAGAAUGUCAUCGCCAGUGGCCGGACCAACCAGUCCAUCAUGAUCCAGUGGCAGCCGCCCCCUGAGAACCACCAGAACGGCGUCCUCAAGGGCUACGUCAUCAGGUACUGCCUGGCCGGGCUUCCUGUCGGGUACCAGUAUAAGAACAUCACGGAUGCCGAAGUCAACAACCUGCUGCUCGAGGACCUCAUCAUCUGGACCAACUACGAGAUCGAGGUGGCCGCCUACAACAGCGCCGGGCUGGGCGUCUAUAGCAGCAAAGUCACCGAGUGGACGCUACAGGGGGUCCCCACAGUCCCUCCGGGCAACGUGCACGCCGAAGCCACCAACUCCACGACCAUCCGCUUCACCUGGAAUGCCCCCAGCCCCCAGUUCAUCAACGGCAUCAACCAGGGCUACAAGCUCAUCGCCUGGGAGCCGGAGCAGGAAGAGGAGGUCACCAUGGUGACCGCCCGGCCCAACUUUCAAGACAGCAUCCACGUGGGCUUCGUGUCUGGCCUGAAGAAGUUCACGGAGUACUUCACCUCGGUGCUGUGCUUCACCACCCCCGGGGACGGGCCCCGCAGCACCCCGCAGCUGGUGCGCACCCAUGAGGAUGUGCCUGGGCCUGUGGGACACCUGAGCUUCAGUGACGUCCUGGACACCUCGCUGAAGGUCAGCUGGCAGGAGCCAGGGGAGAGGAACGGCAUCCUCACAGGCUACCGGAUCUCCUGGGAGGAGUACAACCGCACCAACACGCGCGUGACCCACUACUUGCCCAACGUGACCCUGGAAUACCGCGUGACCGGGCUCACCGCGCUCACCACCUACACCAUCGAGGUGGCCGCCAUGACCGCCAAGGGCCAGGGCCAGGUGUCAGCCUCCACCAUCUCCUCGGGGGUGCCUCCAGAACUCCCCGGAGCCCCCACCAACCUGGGCAUUUCCAACAUCGGCCCGCGUUCCGUGACCUUGCAGUUCAAGCCAGGCUACGACGGGAAGACCUCCAUCUCCCGCUGGCUGGUGGAGGCCCAGGUGGGCGUGGUUGGGGAGGGAGACGAGUGGCAGCUGAUCCACCAGCUCCCCAACGAGCCCGACGCCCGCUCCAUGGAGGUGCCCGACCUCAACCCCUUCACCUACUACAGCUUCCGCAUGCGCCAGGUGAACAUCGUGGGCACCAGCCCACCCAGCCAGCCUUCUAGAAAGAUCCAGACCCUCCAGGCACCCCCUGACAUGGCCCCGGCCAACGUGACCCUGCGCACGGCCAGUGAGACCAGCCUGUGGCUCCGCUGGGUGCCUCUCCCGGAGAUGGCAUACAAUGGGAACCCCGAGUCGGUGGGCUACAAGAUCAAGUACAGCCGGGCAGACGGCCAUGGCAAGACGCUGAGCCACGUGGUCCAUGACCGCGUGGAGCGUGAGUGCACCAUCGAGGACCUGGAGGAGUGGACAGAGUACCGCGCUCAGGUGCAGGCCUUCAACGCUGUCGGGAGUGGGCCCUGGAGCCCGGCGGUGACGGGCCGUACCCGGGAGUCAGUGCCGUCCUCCGGGCCCACCAACGUGUCUGCGCUGGCCACCACCUCCAGCAGCAUGCUGGUGCGCUGGAACGAGGUCCCCGAGGCCGACCGCAACGGGCUUGUGCUGGGCUACAAGGUGCUGUACAAGGAGAAGGACUCGGACGCCCCGCCCCGGUUCUGGCUGGUGGAAGGGAACUCCUCCCGCAGCGCCCAGCUCACAGGCCUGGGCAAGUACGUGCUGUACGAGAUCCAGGUGCUGGCCUUCACGCGCAUCGGCGACGGGGGACCAAGCCACCCUCCCAUCCUGGAGCGGACCCUGGACGACGUCCCGGGACCCCCCGUGGGCAUCCUAUUCCCGGAGGUGCGGACCACGUCGGUGCGGCUGGUCUGGCAGCCCCCCGCUGCCCCCAACGGCAUCAUCCUUGCAUACCAGAUCACCCACCGGCUCAAUGCCACUUCGGCCAACGCUGCCGCUGUGGAGGUGCUCGCGCCCAGCGCCCGCCAGUUCACGGCCACCGGCCUCAAGCCGGAGUCUGUCUACCUGUUCCGCAUCACGGCCCAGACCCGCAAGGGGUGGGGAGAGGCUGCCGAGGCCUUGGUGGUGACCACCGAGAAGAGAGACCGCCCGCAGCCCCCCAGCAAGCCGGUGGUGCAGCAGGAGGACGUGAAGGCACGCAGCGUGUUGCUGUCCUGGGAGCCGGGCAGCGACGGGCUGUCCCCCGUGCGCUACUACACCGUCCAGACUCGCGAGCUGCCCAGCGGCCGAUGGGCGCUGCACUCAGCCUCCGUGAGCCACAACGCCUCCACCUUCCUCGUGGACCGGCUCAAGCCCUUCACAUCCUACAAGUUCCGCGUGAAGGCAACCAAUGACAUCGGAGACAGCGAGUUCAGCGAGGAGUCAGAGCCCCUGACCACCCUACAAGCCGCCCCCGACGAAGCGCCCACCAUCGUGUCGGUGACACCCCACACCACCACCUCGGUGCUGAUCCGAUGGCAGCCGCCGUCGGAGGACAAGAUCAACGGAAUCCUCCUGGGCUUCCGGAUCCGCUACCGAGAGCUGCUCUACGACGGAAUGAGGGGCUUCACGCUGCGCGGCAUCAACAACCCAGGGGCCAAGUGGGCGGAGCUCACCUGUGACCGGCCCAGCCUCACGCAGUACGAGCUGGACAACCUGAACAAGCACCGGCGCUACGAGAUCCGCAUGAGCGUGUACAACGCCGUGGGCGAAGGGCCCUCCAGCCCCCCGCACGAGGUCUUUGUCGGGGAGGCAGUGCCCACAGCAGCGCCCCGCAACGUGGCCGUCCAUGGCCCCACGGCCACACAGCUGGACGUGACGUGGGAGCCGCCUCCGCUGGAGAGCCAGAACGGGGACAUCCAGGGCUACAAGAUCUAUUUCUGGGAGGCCCAGCGGCGGAACUUGACUGAGCGGGUGAAAACGCUUUUCCUGGCCGAGAACAGCGUCAAGCUCAAGAACCUGACAGGCUACACCACCUACAUGGUUAGCGUGGCAGCCUUCAACGCCGCCGGGGACGGGCCUCGGAGCACCCCCACCCGGGGCCAGACCCAGCAAGCAGCCCCCAGCGCUCCCAGCUCCGUCAGGUUCAGCGAGCUGACCACCACCUCCGUGAACGUGUCCUGGGGGGCCCCGGAGUUCCCCAACGGCGUCCUGGAGGGCUACCGGCUGGUGUACGAGCCCUGCACGCCCGUGGAUGGGGUCAGUAAGAUCGUGACGGUAGAUGUGAAGGGCAGCAGCCCCCUGUGGCUGAAGGUGAAGGACCUGGCGGAGGGGAUGACCUACAGGUUCCGCAUCAGAGCCAAGACCUUCACCUACGGGCCUGAGAUCGAAGCCAACGUCACCACAGGCCCUGGAGAAGGUGCCCCCGGCCCGCCCGGAGUGCCCAUCAUCGUGCGGUACAGCUCAGCCAUUGCCAUUCACUGGUCCAGCGGAGACCCAGGCAAAGGGCCCAUCACCCGCUACGUCCUCGAGGCUCGGCCUUCAGGUACGUCCGCCCAGGCUGACAUGGACAUCCUCAAGCCAGGUGUGAGCUACGACUUCCGGGUCAUCGCAGUCAAUGACUACGGUUUCGGGACGCCCAGCAGCCCCUCCCAGUCUGUGCCAGCCCAGAAAGCCAACCCCUUCUACGAGGAGUGGUGGUUCCUGGUGGUCAUCGCCCUCGUUGGCCUCAUCUUCAUCCUGCUCCUCGUCUUUGUGCUCAUCAUCCGAGGCCAGAGCAAGAAGUAUGCCAAGAAGACAGACGCAGGCAACAGUGCCAAGACUGGUGCGCUGGGCCAUGGCGAGAUGAUGAGCUUGGAUGAGAGCAGUUUUCCUGCUCUGGAACUCAACAACCGGCGACUCUCUGUCAAGAACUCCUUCUGCCGAAAGAAUGGCCUGUAUACCAGGUCUCCCCCUCGGCCCAGCCCGGGCAGCCUUCAUUACUCUGACGAGGACGUCACCAAGUACAACGACCUCAUCCCAGCGGAGAGCAGCAGCCUGACGGAGAAGCCCUCGGAAAUCUCCGACUCUCAGGUGAGGGGCAGGAGGGCCUGGCGCCCACUCACGCAGAAGGGCAUCUCUCGGGCCCAGGCCUACAGCUACACGGAGAGUGACCCGGGCGAGCCGGACCACACCACCCUCUCCAACAGCAGCAGCGCCCAGCAGGGCAGCCUCUUCCGGCCCAAGGCCAGUCGGACCCCAACGCCCCAGAACCCCCAGAACCCCCCGAGCCAGCAGAGCACCCUCUACCGUCCCCCCAGCAGCCUCGCCCCCGGCUCCCGGGCCCCCAUCGCAGGGUUUUCAUCCUUCGUUUGA